UUCUACAUGGCUUCAUCCUCUGCUCUACUCAAGCAAAGAGGAGCUUCAACUGCUGGGUCUAAGGCACACGUGGAUGUUGGAGCUCAGCUCAACAACUGGGAAUGGAGGACCUCUCCAGAGCCCCAGAAGACCCCCGCCCGGGUGUGUGUGACAUCAGUUGGGGAGCUAUUAAUAACUGCCCUCCCCCCCCCCGUCAUAUUUCCUGAACUGUGUGGGGAAGGCGAUUGUGAGGCGCUCUGCUGGAAUUUGGCAGCGCGGAGGCUUGGAGAGCAGCCCCAUGCUGGCUCCUAUUCAGCCGGCCAGUUUUCCUCGAGCUUUGGAAGUUUCACUCAGCCGUGCACUCAAUGGCUUCACAAAGCUGAUUACAAGCUUCAGCGCAUUCCUGAAGGAGCCAAAAGCGACGCAGGUGCAAACGAGCCGAGGGAGCCCCUUAUCCCGGUGACAGAAUGGGACAAGCUGGGAAAGGCUUGGACCACACAAAUCCAAGGCUCACCAGGCAGCAGAGAGCCUGCCUUGGGAACCGGGGGUCAUUAUCCGCCCUAUUCAGCGGGGCCGGGGACCCUGGGGCCCGGGAGGCCGGCCGGGCGCAAGCGCCACCGCCAGUGCGCGCCCACAGCAGUGGGGACCCCGCUGGGCGUUGCAACCCGUCGGGAUGUUGGGCGCUGCGUUUGUUCCCACCGACAGCGGUCGGCGAAAUCCAUCCUGCUGGUGAAAGCCGGUGUCCAGGCUAACUCGGAUACAGGAGAACGAGGGUAGCGAAGAUGCUCAGUGCGUGGACAUCUCCAUCACAGUCACUUAUCUGGAAACCUGCGGCUGGAUUAAUCGCUAUAUUCCCAAGAUGAGCGGUGCUGCAAUCCGCAGUGAACACGGGUGGGAACAUGGAAACUUCCCCCAGGUUCUUGCGGGGGCCAGCAGCUGGCCUGCUCCCUGCAGUGGCUGCUGCACAGUUGCUAGCACCUGUUUGGGCUCGGGUUGGGGGUCCACGGGCACUUAGGCGCACAGAAGAUGUGGAAGAGGAGAAGGAAACAGGCCUGUGGGGACUCCGGCCUGAGAGAGGUUGGUUAGCUCUCAGUAAAGGCACAGAACUGCCUAUGUAAAGAGCUUUUUAACCUGAAAACGGUGCUGCCAAAUCUUCAGACAGUGGUCUAUUCAGAUGCAGAAAAAUGUUCCCUCCCAUCUUGAUCUCCCAGUCUCACCCCUACCACGCCCACUGCUGCGCCUUAGGCCCCUCCCCUGGAAUUUCCUCUUUCGGGAUCCUGGUCCUCCAAGGGUUAGUAAUAUUUACUUAGGAACUGUGAGCAUGGAAAUAAGUCCUAGUUGUCCAGCCCCUUGUCCUACCUAUUCGAGGUAAAGACUGUAUAGGCUGUAGCCGGGCAGUGGUGGCAGACGCCUUUAAUCCCAGCACUUGGGAGGCAGAGACAGGUGGAUUUCUGAGUUCGAGGCCAGCCUGGUCUACAGAGUGAGUUCCAGGACAGCCAGGACUGUACAGAGAAACCUUGUCUCGAAAAACCAAAAAUAAAAAUAAAAAAAUAAAAUAAAAAGGAUGGUGUGGACUGUGUGGUGCCAAAGCUCUAGGGAGAAUACUUGUCUACAAAAACUUUCUCUGCUGAGGUCAAAGCAUCAGAUUCGAGGGAAAUACCACUUGGUGCUGGAGGUCCCUGGGCCUGGGCAACGAUGUCUCUGUAGGUGUGAAAAGCCGGGCAUAGGACGCAGGCAUGAAAACUGUGUGCCUCCAUUUUGGCAGCAUAUUAAACAUCCAAGAGUGACCACCCACUGGUCCAUCACAUUAUUAGAUUGUUAGAUGAGGGGGUACCCCAGGAUGCUCCCUCUGCAAGCUCUGCUUAAAAGUCUCCUGGUUCUUCCUCUCUAGCAGCGAAAGCAAACACGUGAAUCUCUGCAAAGCAGCCUGAGCUAAGGUUCCCAGGACAGUCGUCCUCUCGCCCUCUGGAGGCCUUCCAGCUUCAGCUCUCACCUGAAUCCUGUCACCUCUGAUCUGUGGACAAUGCUGAGCCGGACAGCCCCUGGUCAACCAGGCAGAACAGUCUAUGCAAAUGCCGGAGGGCAGCCCUGGGAACAGUGCACCCAUUGUCCAGGGCCUUUCAAAGCUGGGAGCAGCUGCUCAGACUGGUCGCCCUGGACCCUUGGCUGCCAGAGUAAUGUCAUCAUUGCAAGACGUCGACUCUGAAAAUUAUACGACCCGAAUUCAUGAGCAGCCUUGUCUUGAGUGUUUCUGUCUGUGCCACAUUUCAAUGUCCUGAGCUGCUUCUGUUGUUGGGGACUGGAGGAGGGCAUGGGCAGGGGAGAGUUUGCAGUUUCUUAGUAGAGGGUUUGAAAACUUUACAGACUAGCCUUGGCUUCUGAAGUGGGGCGUCUGGCUCAAAGGGCUAAGAUGUGAGGGCUUUUGUGUUGUCUCUUGCUGCUUGCAAGUUUAAGUGCACCGAAAAGAGACUGGAUGAAGAGGUGGAGCGAGAUACAACCACAGAUGCCAAGGUCAUUUUCCUUAGCUGGAACUCCAAAUGCCACCUCCUAGAGAAGCAAGCAGGCUGACUGCAUCAGCACUCGCAGACCACCUCAGCUCCCUUCACAGAAGCAUCAGUGGUUCAUAUCAUCGCUGCCAUCCUCCCUCCCUGCCUCCCCAACCUGCUUCUCUGCCACCUGGACUGUGAAAAGAUGCUCUUUGGCCAGGGGAUAGUGGUUUCUGGUGUAGGAGAUG